GAUGAACGCUGGCGGCGUGCUUAACACAUGCAAGUCGAACGAUGAAGCCCAGCUUGCUGGGUGGAUUAGUGGCGAACGGGAGAGUAACACGAGAGUAACCUGCCCUUAACCCUGGGAUAAGCCUGGGAAACUGGGUAUAAUACCGGAUAGGAGCGUGCACCGCAUGGUGGGUGGUGGAAGGAUUUAUCGGUUUUGGGUGGACUCGCGGCCUAUCAGCUUGUUGGUGAGGAAUGGGCUCACCAAGGCGAGGACGGGGAGCCGGCCUGAGAGGGUGACCGGCCACUCGGGGACUGAGACAGGGCCCGACCCCCUCCGGGGGGAGGCAGUGGGGAUAAUUGCACAAGGGGGGCAAGCCUGAUGCAGCGACGCCGGGUGGGGAAUGACGGCUUCCGGGUGUAAAACCUCUUUCGCAAGGGAAGAAGCGAUAGUGACGGUACCUGCAGAAGAAGCACCGGCUAACUACGUG
rnacentral:rRNA from 1 species